rnacentral:misc_RNA from 1 species
CAGCCGCGUAAUUCCAGCUCCAAUAGCGUAUAUUAAAGUUGUUGCAGUUAAAAAGCUCGUAGUUGAAUUUCGGGAUUGGCGCAUCGGUCGUGCCUUACGGGGUAUGAACUGGUGCAGUCAAUUUCUCACCUUCUGGAGAACCGCGAUGUCCUUAAUUGGGUGCCGCGGGGAACCAGGACCUUUACUUUGAAAAAAUUAGAGUGUUUAAAGCAGGCAUUUUUGCUUGAAUACAUUAGCAUGGAAUAAUAAAAUAGGACGGCAUGGUUCUAUUUUGUUGGUUUCUAGGACCACCGUAAUGAUUAAUAGGGAUAGUUGGGGGCAUUAGUAUUCAAUUGUCAGAGGUGAAAUUCUUGGAUUUAUUGAAGACUAACUACUGCGAAAGCAUUUGCCAAGGAUGUUUUCAUUAAUCAAGAACGAAAGUUAGGGGAUCGAAGACGAUCAGAUACCGUCGUAGUCUUAACCAUAAACUAUGCCGACUAGGAAUCAGACGAUGUUAAUUUUUUAAUGACUCGUUUGGCACCUUACG